GACGAACGCUGGCGGCGUGCCUAACACAUGCAAGUCGAACGGGGUAAGAUGCUUCGGUAUUUUACUUAGUGGCGAACGGGUGAGUAACGCGUGAGAAACCUGCCCUGUACUGGGGAAUAAUCAUUGGAAACGAUGACUAAUACCGCAUGUGGUCCUUGGAAGGCAUCUUCUGAGGAAGAAAGGAUUUAUUCGGUACAGGAUGGGCCCGCAUCUGAUUAGCUAGUUGGUGAGAUGACAGCCCACCAAGGCGACGAUCAGUAGCCGACCUGAGAGGGUGAUCGGCCACAUUGGGACUGAGACACGGCCCAA
rnacentral:rRNA from 1 species